UUAUUAAUCUAUCUAUAUCUAUUCUUUCUAUUAAUAAUUAAUAAUAGCCCAACAUGGGGCUCGCUGAGCAAGAAAAAUAGUGAGACAUUUUAAUCAACCGAAAAUACUGUUUUGCCCCUCCUACCAUUUCCCUCGAAAAGAGUGAAGGAGAUGGUGACAAACUCAGCAAAGCAUCGAACCUGGUCCAGGAUCCAAACCUCUUCACUGCCCUGUCGGAACCCCCUUGCGCACACCUUCUACUCCACAAUUGGGCACAAUCGCCAUCUUCGUCAGAGUCACCGCCGUGUUUGCUGAACGCCAAAUUCAGCCUGCACGCUUCAUCUUCCUCAUCGUUCAUCCGCAGGCGCCGCCUCCGUUGUCCCAGGUGAUUCCUUCUCCAUCCCUCGGUCAUGUUCUGCCUUCGCGGUCUUCUUUUCCUCCCUUCGAACUCAUGACUGGAUUUAGUGUUUCCAUGUAUUCUUAAAGGUUUGUCGGUUUUUUAGUUUUUUAUUCCAAUGGGGCUUUACAAAAUUAAAUAUGCACUAUCGCAGCUGCUGAGAUUGAAGGGACAUAUAGAAAGAGAGGCCGGCCAAAAAUUGUAUCAGACCCAAAAUAACAUGUAGAUGAUCAGGAAGAAAGUUUGAAUAUCCCUGCUUAUUAAGUAUUAUCUUAUGUGCCAUGGUCAGAUAGAUAUAUCACAUUUUGGUCUUCGUUGCUAAAUGUAAAAAUGAAAAAUAGAGCUAUAGUUCUUCAUAUAUAUGGCCUUUUAUGUUAUCAGAAUGAUAUUUGUUCUUGUUUUAAGCUUGUAAGUUAUAAUUUGGUAAGAGAGCUAUAUAUAAAAUAACUAUGCCAUUUACUAGAAGUUUUGUGUUCAAUCCUUACUCGGUUUACCAAAUAUACUUGAAUUAUGUUAGACUGUGUGCCUUUCUUGCACGUUGUUUGACAUGUAUAAACUUUGUCUUCCUUAGUAUUCUAUAAAAUAGUAUGUUUCUACAUUUGAAGGCUCUGUUUGUUUGCCGUAAAAUAACUUCUGCCAAAGCUUUUUUUGUGAAAAAACUUUUUGAGAAAUGGUUUUUCUUGGAAAAAGAUGCGGGAAUGAAAAAUACUUCAAAUUUAAAGUGAUACAAUUUUGAAAGUAGCAGGGAACAACCUUAAUCCAUUAAAUGUAGUAGGAGUCUGGCGGGUAGGACGGUUUUGCCCCUGGGUAUCCUCCGUUUUCUGCGAAUAUUUUUAAUCAUUGGGUGAGAUGGUUAUUUCAGCUUUCGAUAAUUUUUGUGGCACAGCUGAGAUUGUCACAACUGAUGAGCUGAAUGAUUAUCGGACUUGUGUUAGAUUUGGAUUUUAAAUAAUUUGUUUUUAUUUUUGUUUGAAAUUCAAGUGUACAUAUUUUGGAUUUUGAAAAAAUAUAGAAUCUCGGGGUAUAUAAUUCUUAGCAGCUACUGAGAUUGAAGGCACAUCUAGGAAGAGAGGCCGGCCAAAAAUUGUUGUGACAUACGAGGUUCUGGAGCAGAGGAGGUUGGCUAGGCAAUGAACUACCGCAGGUCGACCCACAGGUAAUGAAGAAGGAGCCCCAGUUAGGAAGAGAGGGCGGCCUAGAAUUGUCGUGACAAACGAGGUCCUGGAGCAAAGAAGAUUGGCCAGGCAGCGAGUGAACGCAAAUCGACCAAGGAGUAGAGGACCCUCUGGCAGGAGGGGAUGACCCAGAUUGGUUCUGAAUGAGGAGCUGCGUGAACAGCGAAGACUAUCAAAACAGCGUUCUAAUGGCAGGCGAGGUCAAGCCCCGCCCACUGCCACCACACAAACUGUGGUAGUGGAAGCAGAAAACACCAAUUUACAGGCCUCUGUUUCACAGGAGCUGGAUCAGCAUCUCAGCACAAAUCCUGAUGUCAUGGAAGGCGCAUCAGGUUCAUCUGGGAUUCAGCGGUAGAGCAACCAAAAAAGGCUGCGGUUUUUGUUAGCUAAUGACAUAUUCAGUAUUGGUGGCCAAGAAGAGACAUGUGGUUCCUGUGCAGCUCGGGUAUGGCCUGCAGAAUUCACCGGUAGGCACACAGGCGCUGGGCCAAAAUCAUAUUCAAUAUGUUGUGGCAAGGGUAAAGUCCUGCUACCAUUGCUGCAGGAUUCCCCGCAGGAACUUGCAGAGUUAAUCUCCUCUAACGGAGAGCAGGCCAAAUCAUACUUCGACAAGAGCCGAAUUUAUAAUAACAUGUUUGCUUUCUGUUCUUUUGGUGGUAAUGUGGAUCAUUCUGUGAAUACCGGGAAGGGACCUUUUGUCUUUCGUGUGAUCGGCCUUAAUUAUCAUAGCAUCGGCUCUUUGGUGCCUCCGGAUUCUCCUUGGACGAAGUGUGGCCUUCGAUCUCCCAAGGUGUGCCUCUCCUUAAAGCUCCGAAAACCCAAAACCCUAGCUGUCUCCUUGAGAAAAACGUUUGCCUCUCUCUGACUCUAGGAUUAAUUCGUUUUGGUGUGUAUUUCAGCUUUAGGAGAACGAGAAUAUAUAUAGGCUACAGCAGGGAUCAUGGAUCAUUAGGUCAGGCCUUCCAAUGACAUUCCGGGCCAGGCCCAAUGUCAUUAAAUAUUAAUUCAAUCCA